rnacentral:rRNA from 1 species
UACGUAGGGGGCAAGCGUUGUCCGGAAUCAUUGGGCGUAAAGAGCGUGUAGGCGGCUCGGUAAGUCCGCUGUGAAAGUCCAGGGCUCAACCCUGGAAUGCCGGUGGAAACUGUCGAGCUAGAGUCCGGAAGAGGCGAGUGGAAUUCCUGGUGUAGCGGUGAAAUGCGCAGAUAUCAGGAGGAACACCAAUGGCGAAGGCAGCUCGCUGGGACGGUACUGACGCUGAGACGCGAAGCGUGGGAGCAAACAGG